rnacentral:lncRNA from 1 species
UAAGUCAUACUAUGGCCUCCAAUUGUCAUCGCUAACCUAGCAAAAAAUAGUAGCAAUAAAUAUACUGGCCGAAGUCAUUAGUUACAUCACCAACCAAAUUGUUUUGACAAAAAACAAAGUCCUAAACCAUUACUCCAGAAAUAUAUUUCCCAUUACCCCAACAUAGUAGACUUCUUUCCCUAUCCCUUUCUUGCUUGCAUCUUUCCAAUUUUUUUCUGAGCUUGCAUCUCCAGUUGGUUGCUACUUACAGAAUCUUUUUCCUUCCAUGCGAGUCCUCUUGGUGAGUAGAGCAAAUUUGAAGGAUCGCUCACACCAGUUGAAUCACCUCUCACGGGGAUAACUCUUGACAUAGAUGAAGACUUAGUUAUUGUCUCACUUGAAGCCUUGUACUUUCCUAUGAAAUAAUUUGUGGCCUUAUUGCAGGCUCUUCUUCAUUUACAAAUUUCUGGGGUAAAGUUCUCCUACUAGCAACAUCUCUUAAAUCCAAAACUACAUCAAAAAUAGUUGGAGUAGGAAUAAACACCAGUGGAUUGCCGAAGGCUUGACAAUUUUGAGAUUGAUGGGGACAUGAUAAUGGUAUCUCUUCAUCAAUAUCUUCAUAAUCUACAAAUCGUUUCCUUUCAUUGUUUGCUGUCAUAAUCUAGAGCGCCAUUUUCAGAGAACCCCACCCCCCGAUCGACGAGCUUCUUCUUCUUAGCCAUUUUUGAUGGUUUAAGCUGAAGCCUAAACGAUCACCCCAUGAGCUCUGGUUCUUGAUCAAAAUCACAGAGCUUUAAGCAUCAUCCUCAUUGACCUAGGGCACCAGCGGCUUCUUCUUCCUCGACUGAACUCCGUCACCACCGGAAAUGGCCGGAAACUGGCGACGGAAUUUCGUUUCGUCAAUGGAGUUCGAUUAAAGCUCUUGGAGAGUUUGUUUGAGGUUGUUGACUGAGUUUCAAGUUCGUUGUUCCAUUUAGUGUAACGUUUCCGUUGAGAUCGAGUCCCGUUAAAGCCCGUUCGUAGGUCGUUAGCUCUGUUCGUUGGGUCUGUACAGCACCGUCGAGGCAGUUGGUAUCGAGGUUCUUU